rnacentral:lncRNA from 1 species
UCCUUAAAGUAAAGUAAAGCACAGCACACGGUGCACACAGUGAAAUUUGUCCUCUGCAUUUAACCCAUCACCCUGAGUGAGCAGUGGACACCAUGACAGGCGCCCAAGGGACAGUGUGUGUGGGGACGGUGCUUUGCUCAGUGGCACCUCAGUGGAACCUUGGCGGAUCGGGAUUCGAACCGGCAACCUUCUGAUUACGGGGCCGCUUCCUUAUCCACUAGGCCACCACGCCCCAUAGUUCCAAAGUGUUUCGUAUUUUUGCUUUCAGCACAAACGAAGCUACAAUAAUAACGCAGGAGUUCAUGGAUCCAGGAGUGUGGACCUGGAGACCUUGGCUCCCUACAUCCCCGGAUGAGGAGGAUGAGGAGCUUCAGCAGCAUGGCUGGCCUCUUCGAGCCACUGGGUCCAAAACCGGACUCCCAGUCUGGCCGAGAGAUGUUCAGCGGACCAGCAUCCAAUCAGCAACUUUUGGGGCUGCCUGAGCCCUCUGCUCCAUACCCAGAAGAAAACCAGAACCGAGCUCACUGCACUGGUAGCAUCCUGCGUCCAAUCACAUUGCCUUGUGAGGACUCUAUGAUCUCUGACUGGCCGGUCCUCUCACGCUCAGCCCUCAGGUGCAGAACAAAUAUCUCUUCAGUGUGCAUUAUUACUCUGGUUGGAUUAAAUUUAUGGAAGGCCAGGACCGACUCAACAGGAAAAUUAGAUGAGUUUCCAACUGUCCACAUCUUGAACAGCCUGCAGUAG